CAGUCGCCGCGGGAAUACGUAGGGUCCGAGCGUUGUCCGGAAUUACUGGGCGUAAAGAGCUCGUAGGUGGUUUGUCGCGUUGUUCGUGAAAGCUCACAGCUCAACUGUGGGCGUGCGGGCGAUACGGGCAGACUAGAGUACUGCAGGGGAGACUGGAAUUCCUGGUGUAGCGGUGGAAUGCGCAGAUAUCAGGAGGAACACCGGUGGCGAAGGCGGGUCUCUGGGCAGUAACUGACGCUGAGGAGCGAAAGCGUGGGGAGCGAACAGGAUUAGAUACCCCUGUAGUCCCUGUCUCUUAUAC
rnacentral:rRNA from 1 species